UACGUAGGGACCGAGCGUUGUCCGGAAUCAUUGGGCGUAAAGAGCGUGUAGGCGGCCUUUUAAGUCCUGCGUGAAAUCCUGCGGCUCAACCGCAGACGGUCGUGGGAAACUGGAAGGCUAGAGUGCGGGAGAGGAGAGUGGAAUUCCUGGUGUAGCGGUGAAAUGCGCAGAUAUCAGGAAGAACACCAGUGGCUAAGGCGGCUCUCUGGUACGGUACUGACGCUGAGACGCGAAAGCGUGGGGAGCGAACAGG
rnacentral:rRNA from 1 species